AUUGAACGCUGGCGGCAUGCCUUACACAUGCAAGUCGAACGGCAGCACGGGUGCUUGCACCUGGUGGCGAGUGGCGAACGGGUGAGUAAUACAUCGGAACAUGUCCUGUAGUGGGGGAUAGCCCGGCGAAAGCCGGAUUAAUACCGCAUACGAUCUACGGAUGAAAGCGGGGGACCUUCGGGCCUCGCGCUAUAGGGUUGGCCGAUGGCUGAUUAGCUAGUUGGUGGGGUAAAGGCCUACCAAGGCGACGAUCAGUAGCUGGUCUGAGAGGACGACCAGCCACACUGGGACUGAGACACGGCCCAGACUCCUACGGGAGGCAGCAGUGGGGAAUUUUGGACAAUGGGCGAAAGCCUGAUCCAGCAAUGCCGCGUGUGUGGAGAAGGCCUUCGGGUUGUAAAGCACUUUUGUCCGGAAAGAAAUCCUUGGCUCUAAUACAGUCGGGGGAUGACGGUACCGGAAGAAUAAGCACCGGCUAACUACGUG
rnacentral:rRNA from 1 species